CAAGASCUUGUGCUUUUGGAGCGGCCGAUGCCUGAUUAGCUAGUNGGUAGGGUAAAGGCCUACCAAGGCGUCGAUCAGUAGUUGGUCUGAGAGGACGACCAGCCACACUGGGACUGAGACACGGCCCAGACUCCUACGGGAGGCAGCAGUNGGGAAUUUUGGACAAUGGGCGCAAGCNGAUCCAGCAAUGCCGCGUGAGUHAAGAAGGCCUUCGGGUUGUAAAGCUCUUUCAGUGBADAAGAAAAGAUUACGACUAAUAAUCGUAAUUCAUGACGGUACCGACAGAAGAAGCACCGGCUAACUACGUGCCAACAGCCGCGGUAAUACGUAGGGUGCAAGCSUUAAUCGGAAUUACUGGGCGUAAAGGGUGCGCAGGCGGCUUUGUAAGUCAGAUGUGAAAUCCCCGGGCUUAACCUGGGAACU
rnacentral:rRNA from 1 species